rnacentral:rRNA from 1 species
GACGAACGCUGGCGGCGUGCCUAAUACAUGCAAGUCGAACGCAGUGGGGACGGGUGAGUAACACGUGGGUAACCUCCCAUCAGAGGGGAUAACACUUGGAAACAGGUGCUAAACCGAUACUGAUGGAUGGACCCGCGGUGCAUUAGCUAGUUGGUGAGGUAACGGCUCACCAAGGCCACGAUGCAUAGGCGAGAUUGGAGGGUGGUCGACCGUAAUGGGACUGAGACACGUUCAAGACUCCUACGGGAGGGAGGAGUAGGGACACUUCGGCAAUAGACGAAAGUCUGACCGUGCAACGACGCGUUGGUGAAGAAGGUUUUCGGAUCGUAAAAUGCUGUUGUUAAGGAAGCGGUAUCUAACCAGAAAUCAUCAGCUAACUGCGUGCCAGCAGCCACAGUAAUAC